rnacentral:rRNA from 1 species
UGGCGGACGGGUGAGUAACGCGUGGGUAACCUGCCUUGUACUGGGGGAUAGCAGCUGGAAACGGCUGGUAAUACCGCAUAAGCGCACAAUGUUGCAUGACAUGGUGUGAAAAACUCCGGUGGUAUAAGAUGGACCCGCGUCUGAUUAGCUAGUUGGUGAGAUAACAGCCCACCAAGGCGACGAUCAGUAGCCGACCUGAGAGGGUGACCGGCCACAUUGGGACUGAGACACGGCCCAGGCUCCUACGGGAGGCAGCAGUGGGGAAUAUUGCACAAUGGAGGAAACUCUGAUGCAGCGACGCCGCGUGAGUGAAGAAGUAAUUCGUUAUGUAAAGCUCUAUCAGCAGGGAAGAUAGUGACGGUACCUGACUAAGAAGCUCCGGCUAAAUACGUGCCAGCAGCCGCGGUAAUACGUAUGGAGCAAGCGUUAUCCGGAUUUACUGGGUGUAAAGGGAGUGUAGGUGGCCAUGCAAGUCAGAAGUGAAAAUCCGGGGCUCAACCCCGGAACUGCUUUUGAAACUGUAAGGCUGGAGUGCA